rnacentral:rRNA from 1 species
GACGAACGCUGGCGGCGCGCCUAACACAUGCAAGUCGAACGAGCGAGAGAGAGCUUGCUUUCUCGAGCGAGUGGCGAACGGGUGAGUAACGCGUGAGGAACCUGCCUCAAAGAGGGGGACAACAGUUGGAAACGACUGCUAAUACCGCAUAACACAUCGAGGGGGCAUCCCCAUGAUGUCAAAGAUUUAUCGCUGAAAGAUGGGCUCGCGUCUGAUUAGAUAGUUGGUGAGGUAACGGCUCACCAAGUCGACGAUCAGUAGCCGGACUGAGAGGUUGAACGGCCACAUUGGGACUGAGAUACGGCCCAG